GGUCCCUUAGCUCAGUUGGCUAGAGCGUGGUGCUAAUAACGCCGAGGUCAACGGUUCAAGUCCGUUAGGGACCA
rnacentral:tRNA from 1 species